CCUACGGGUGGCAGCAGUGGGGAAUAUUGCACAAUGGGGGAAACCCUGAUGCAGCGACGCCGCGUGAGUGAAGAAGUAAUUCGUUAUGUAAAGCUCUAUCAGCAGGGAAGAAAAUGACGGUACCUGAGUAAGAAGCCCCGGCUAACUACGUGCCAGCAGCCGCGGUAAUACGUAGGGGGCAAGCGUUAUCCGGAUUUACUGGGUGGAAAGGGAGCGUAGACGGCAGUGCAAGUCUGGAGUGAAAGGCGGGGGCUCAACCCACGGACUGCUCUGGAAACUGUACGGCUGGAGUGCAGGAGAGGUAAGUGGAAUUCCUAGUGUAGCGGUGAAAUGCGUAGAUAUUAGGAGGAACACCAGUGGCGAAGGCGGCUUACUGGACUGUAACUGACGUUGAGGCUCGAAAGCGUGGGGAGCAAACAGGAUUAGAUACCCUUGGAGUC
rnacentral:rRNA from 1 species